GAUGAACGCUGGCGGCGUGCCUAAUACAUGCAAGUCGAGCGAACGGACGAGAAGCUUGCUUCUCUGAUGUUAGCGGCGGACGGGUGAGUAACACGUGGAUAACCUACCUAUAAGACUGGGAUAACUUCGGGAAACCGGAGCUAAUACCGGAUAAUAUUUUGAACCGCAUGGUUCAAAAGUGAAAGACGGUCUUGCUGUCACUUAUAGAUGGAUCCGCGCUGCAUUAGCUAGUUGGUAAGGUAACGGCUUACCAAGGCAACGAUGCAUAGCCGACCUGAGAGGGUGAUCGGCCACCCGGGAACGGAGACACGGUCCAGACUCCUACGGGAGGCAGCAGUAGGGAAUCUUCCGCAAUGGGCGAAAGCCUGACGGAGCAACGCCGCGUGAGUGAUGAAGGUCUUCGGAGCGUAAAACUCUGUUAUUAGGGAAGAACAUAUGUGUAAGUAACUGUGCACAUCUUGACGGUACCUAAUCAGAAAGCAACGGCUAACUACGUG
rnacentral:rRNA from 1 species